GACGAACGCUGGCGGCGUGCUUAACACAUGCAAGUCGAACGGUAAAGCGCUUUCCUUUUUGGUUGGUGGGGAGGAGGGGCGAACGGGUGAGGAACACGAGAGUAACCUGCCCCCUUGUGCGGGAUAACGGCAGGAAAGUUAGGCUAAUACGGGAUAUGCUGGGUCGGUCGCAUGAUGGGUCUGGGAAAGCUAUUGUGUCUGAGGGGGAUGGGAUCGCGGUCUAUCUGCUUGUGGGUGUGGUGAUGGCCUACCAAGGCGGUGAGGGGUAGCCGGCCUGAGAGGGUGGCCCGCACUGCUGGGGCGAAGCCGCGGACACGACUACGACAGGCGGCAGCGGUGGAUAUUAUUGCACAGUGGGCGCAAUGCUGCUGCCGCGCCGCGGCGUGGGGGAUGGAGGUCUUCGUGUUGUGAACCUCUUUCGCGAGUGAAGCGCGCCUGCCUCGUUUGUGGGUGGGUUGACGGUAGCUGGAGAAGAAGCGCCGGCUAACUACGUG
rnacentral:rRNA from 1 species